UGGGGAAUUUUGGACAAUGGGCGCAAGCCUGAUCCAGCCAUUCCGCGUGCAGGACGAAGGCCUUCGGGUUGUAAACUGCUUUUGUACGGAACGAAAAGGCUCUGGCUAAUACCUGGGGCUCAUGACGGUACCGUAAGAAUAAGCACCGGCUAACUACGUGCCAGCAGCCGCGGUAAUACGUAGGAGGCGAGCGUUAUCCGGAUUUACUGGGCGUAAAGCGCGUGCAGGCGGAUUGGAGAGUUGGAUGUGAAAGCUCCCGGCUUAACUGGGAGAGGUCGUUCAAUACUUUCAGUCUUGAGUGCAGUAGAGGGAAGUGGAAUUCCGGGUGUAGUGGUGAAAUGCGUAGAUAUCCGGAGGAACACCAGUGGCGAAAGCGCCUUUCUGGACUGUGUCUGACGCUGAGAUGCGAAAGCCAGGGUAGCGAACG
rnacentral:rRNA from 1 species